rnacentral:rRNA from 1 species
GACGAACGCUGGCGGCGUGCCUAAUACAUGCAAGUCGAGCGAACCAAUAAGAAGCUUGCUUUUUGUUGGUUAGCGGCGGACGGGUGAGUAACACGUGGGUAACCUGCCUGUAAGAUCGGGAUAACUCCGGGAAACCGGUGCUAAUACCGGAUAGAUUAUCUUUCCGCUUGGAGAGAUAAGGAAAGAUGGCUAUUGCCAUCACUUACAGAUGGGCCCGCGGCGCAUUAGCUAGUUGGUGAGGUAACGGCUCACCAAGGCGACGAUGCGUAGCCGACCUGAGAGGGUGAUCGGCCACACUGGGACUGAGACACGGCCCAGACUCCUACGGGAGGCUG